AGAUAUUUGAAAAGAUAUACAUAAAAAGCUUGUCUAUUAAUUCAAACUAAAGGUGAGAAACAGACAUCCCCUCAAGGAAAGAUGAAGGGUAUCUCAGCUGUGGGAGGAUCAUUGCUUCUAUUGUUCACCUGAGCCUUUGGGUCAAGAAAGCAAAUUUCUGACAUCAUAAAACAGAUUAAAAAAAAAAAAGAAACAACUCUCUACUGGAUAUGACAUGGCUGUUCCAUUGCACAAUCUGAUCGAGGAAAUGUAUCUAGGAUUACCCAGACAGUCAAUUAUUCAUAAGCUAAACAUCCAAGCAUCAAUUACCUGGCUUCAUGCUCUUAUUCAUUAAGGAGAUUGAACAGUCCAACUUAACAAAGCAAGAGGAAGUUGCUAAGUUACAGAAGUUACUUGACCAGCAACAACACGACUGCUUACACAAUAUGAGUCUUUCAAGGCAAGAGAGGUCUCGGAGAUCAGCAAUGUGAUAGAUCAAGUCGUCAAAUAUACCAUGGCUGAUUUUACUCUCAGCAAAUGGAAAUGGAGAAAGAGUAUAAAAGAUUCAUCAGAGUGCUAGAGGCUGAAAACAGGCCAGGAUGAGAAGGACCAUCUACUGACCCUCCCCUUGCAAAGCACAUCUGCAACCCCAAAUCCUCACUGAUGGCCCAGAGCUAAAAGCCCUUACAAAUUUGCUAUCUCAGCAGUAAGCUGUCUAAUAAUACCCUCUCAUAAAUGGAGAUAAAUUGUGUUUGGAGGGCGGACAUCACUUACAAGAUUGACAAAACAAUUCUGAGAGCCACAAAGGCAUCAAGUUCUAUUCCAGAUUGAAAGUCGACAGAAUGAUAGGCAGUCAAGUCUCCUUUGCAGGUGUGAGACCUGGCCCUCCCAUCACUGGCAUGUUCAACUGUUCAGCAUCUGGAUAAAGUCCAACAAAACUAACUAUGGAUCAAAUUCAAAAGGCUAAGGUUUUCAAUGAUAGGGGCCCUCUAUAUCCUUCCAAAUUGUAGCAAGGAACUCGGAAAAAUAUUCUGUUAAGUGAU